AGCAGCCGCGGUAAUUCCAGCUCCAAUAGCGUAUAUUAAAGUUGUUGCAGUUAAAAAGCUCGUAGUUGAAUUUCGGGAUCAAUAUAACGGUCAUGCCGUUGGUAUGCACUGUUAUAAUUGAUUUCUCACCUUCUAAAGAACCGUAAUGCCAUUAAUUUGGUGUCACGGGGAAUUAGGACUGUUACCUUGAAAAAUUAGAGUGUUUAAAGCAGGCUCACGCUUGAAUACAUUAGCAUGGAAUAAUGAAAUAGGACAUCCGAUUCUAUUUUGUUGGUUUCUAGGAUCGAUGUAAUGAUUAAUAGGGAUAGUUGGGGCAUUAGUAUUCAAUUGUCAGAGGUGAAAUUCUUGGAUUUAUUGAAGACUAACUACUGCGAAAGCAUUUGCCAAGGAU
rnacentral:rRNA from 1 species